UGAACGCUGGCGGCAUGCCUUACACAUGCAAGUCGAACGGCAGCACGGGGACAACCCUGGUGCGGAGUGGCGGAACGGGGCGAGUAACUACAUCGGAACGUGUCCUGUAGUGGGGGAUAGCCCGGCGAAAGCCGGAUUAAUACCGCAUACGCUCUACGGAGGAAAGGGGGGGAUCUUAGGACCUCCCGCUACAGGGGCGGCCGAUGGCAGAUUAGCUAGUUGGUGGGGUAAAGGCCUACCAAGGCGACGAUCUGUAGCUGGUCUGAGAGGACGACCAGCCACACUGGGACUGAGACACGGCCCAGACUCCUACGGGAGGCAGCAGUGGGGAAUUUUGGACAAUGGGCGAAAGCCUGAUCCAGCAAUGCCGCGUGUGUGAAG
rnacentral:rRNA from 1 species